CGAUGAUCUCCAGCUUGCUGGGGGGAUUAGUGGCGAACGGGUGAGUAACACGUGAGUAACCUGCCCUUAACUCUGGGAUAAGCCUGGGAAACUGGGUCUAAUACUGGAUAUUUACUUAUCACCGCAUGGUGGUUGGUGGAAAGCUUUAUUGUGGUUUUGGAUGGACUCGCGGCCUAUCAGCUUGUUGGUGAGGUAAUGGCUCACCAAGGCGACGACGGGUAGCCGGCCUGAGAGGGUGACCGGCCACACUGGGACUGAGACACGGCCCAGACUCCUACGGGAGGCAGCAGUGGGGAAUAUUGCACAAUGGGCGCAAGCCUGAUGCAGCGACGCCGCGUGAGGGAUGAAUGCCUUCGGGUUGUAAACCUCUUUCAGUAGGGAAGAAGCCUUUUCGUAAGGUGACGGUACUUGCAGAAGAAGCGCCGGCUAACUACGUGCCAGCAGCCGCGGUAAUACGUAGGGCGCAAGCGUUAUCCGGAAUUAUUGGGCGUAAAGAGCUCGUAGGCGGUUUGUCGCGUCUGCCGUGAAAGUCCGGGGCUCAACUCCGGAUCUGCGGUGGGUACGGGCAGACUAGAGUGAUGUAGGGGAGACUGGAAUUCCUGGUGUAGCGGUG
rnacentral:rRNA from 1 species